UAGGGAAUCUUCCGCAAUGGGCGAAAGCCUGACGGAGCAACGCCGCGUGAGUGAUGAAGGUCUUCGGAUCGUAAAACUCUGUUAUUAGGGAAGAAUAAAUGUGUAAGUAACUAUGCACGUCUUGACGGUACCUAAUCAGAAAGCCACGGCUAACUACGUGCCAGCAGCCGCGGUAAUACGUAGGUGGCAAGCGUUAUCCGGAAUUAUUGGGCGUAAAGCGCGCGUAGGCGGUUUUUUAAGUCUGAUGUGAAAGCCCACGGCUCAACCGUGGAGGGUCAUUGGAAACUGGAAAACUUGAGUGCAGAAGAGGAAAGUGGAAUUCCAUGUGUAGCGGUGAAAUGCGCAGAGAUAUGGAGGAACACCAGUGGCGAAGGCGACUUUCUGGUCUGUAACUGACGCGGAUGUGCGAAAGCGUGGGGAUCAAACAGG
rnacentral:rRNA from 1 species